rnacentral:misc_RNA from 1 species
GAUGAAGAACGUAGUGAAAUGCGAUAAGUAGUGUGAAUCGCAGAAUUCAGUGAAUCAUCGAAUCUUUGAACGCACAUUGCGCCCCUUGGUAUCCCGAGGGGCAUGCCUGUUCGAGCGUCAUUUCACCACUCAAGCCUGGCUUGGUGUUGGGCGACGUCCUCUUUGGGGACGCGCCUCGAAACGCUCGGCGGCGUGGCACCGGCUUUAAGCGUAGCAGAAUCUUUCGCUUUGGAAGUCGGGGCCCCGUCUGCCGGAAGACCUGCUCGCAAGGUUGACAUCGGAUCAGGCAGGGAUCCCCGCUGAACUUAAGCAUAUCAAUAAGCGGAGGA